GUUUAUGACACAGAAAUAAAAAUUAUCGGCUUCAUGUCCUGACGAAGUUCAUGGCACAGAAAAAGUAGCUAGGCAGACAUGCAUGCCACAGUGAAGGGCUGAGACAACAUAAAGCACAAGCAGCUAAGCACAAUGAUUUUUUUACCCAGCCAAUCUUGUGCUGCAGGUAGCUCAAAACCAGGGUAGAUGGUAGUGGGUGAACUAUGGACCAGAACAGCCUGCUCUGCUAGCAGUUCUU
rnacentral:lncRNA from 1 species